rnacentral:lncRNA from 1 species
UGGCUCCCUUUAAAUCCAUCCUUUCUCACCGGCAAAAAAAUCUUUCUCCUCCCCUUCCUCCUCACUCAUUUCUCUUUCUUCAUGAUGGCUCCCUUCACCUUUUUUUCUUCCUCAUCCAUUUCAUCUCCUCAUUAUUUUUUUCUCCCAAAUCGUUCAUAAGCCAUCCCCUUUACGACGGCCUCUUCCACUUUCAUCUCUUUCCGUUGAUAACCCAUUUUUUCCUCUUCUUCCUCUCCACCCUCUUCUUCUUCUUCUCCUUCUCCUUCUCCUCUAAUCCAUUUCUUAUUCGCGACCAUUCUUUCCUCCUCU